UACGAGGGGGGCGAGCGUUGUUCGGAAUUAUUGGGCGUAAAGGGUGCGUAGGCGGUUCCGCAAGUCCUGUGUGAAAUCUUCGGGCUCAACUCGAAGUCUGCACGGGAAACUGCGGGGCUUGAGUGUGGGAGAGGUGAGUGGAAUUCACGGUGUAGCAGUGAAAUGCGUAGAUAUCGUGAGGAACACCAGAGGCGAAGGCGGUUACCUGGACAGUUACUGACGCUCAGGCACGAAAAGCAUGGGGAGCAAAAGGG
rnacentral:rRNA from 1 species